UACGUAGGGGGCUAGCGUUGUCCGGAAUCAUUGGGCGUAAAGCGCGUGUAGGCGGUCCGGUAGGUCCGCUGUGAAAGUCGAGGGCUCAACCCUCGAAUGCCGGUGGAUACUGUCGGGCUUGAGUACGGGAGAGGCGAGUGGAAUUCCUGGUGUAGCGGUGAAAUGCGCAGAUAUCAGGAGGAACACCGAUUGCGAAGGCAGCUCGCUGGAACGUUACUGACGCUGAGACGCGAAAGCGUGGGGAGCAAACAGG
rnacentral:rRNA from 1 species